UGGGGAAUAUUGGACAAUGGGGGCAACCCUGAUCCAGCAAUGCCGCGUGUGUGAAGAAGGUCUUCGGAUUGUAAAGCACUUUCGACGGGGACGAUGAUGACGGUACUCGUAGAAGAAGCCCCGGCUAACUUCGUGCCAGCAGCCGCGGUAAUACGAAGGGGGCUAGCGUUGCUCGGAAUGACUGGGCGUAAAGGGCGUGUAGGCGGUUUACACAGUCAGAUGUGAAAUCCCCGGGCUUAACCUGGGAGCUGCAUUUGAUACGUGUAGACUAGAGUGUGAGAGAGGGUUGUGGAAUUCCCAGUGUAGAGGUGAAAUUCGUAGAUAUUGGGAAGAACACCGGCGGCGAAGGCGGCAACCUGGCUCAUGACUGACGCUGAGGCGCGAAAGCGUGGGGAGCAAACAGGAUUAGAUACCCUGGUAGUCCACGCUGUAAACGAUGUGUGCUAGAUGUUGGGUAACUUU
rnacentral:rRNA from 1 species